GACGAACGCUGGCGGCGUGCCUAAUACAUGCAAGUCGAACGCAGUGGGGACGGGUGAGUAACACGUGGGUAACCUCCCAUCAGAGGGGAUAACACUUGGAAACAGGUGCUAAACCGAUACUGAUGGAUGAACCCGCGGUGCAUUAGCUAGUUGGUGAGGUAACGGCUCACCAAGGCCACGAGGCAUAGCGGGCCGGGGAGGGUGACCAGCCACACUGGGACUGAGACACGGCCCAGACUCCUACGUGAGGCAGCAGUGGGGAAUCUUCGGCAAUGGGCGAAAGUCUGACCCAGCAACGCCGCGUGAAUGAAGAAGGUUUUCGGAUCGUAAAGCUCUGUUGUUAGAGAAGCGGUAUCUAACCAGAAAGCCACGGCUAACUACGUGCCAGCAGCCGCGGUAAUUC
rnacentral:rRNA from 1 species